rnacentral:rRNA from 1 species
UACGUAGGGUGCAAGCGUUGUCCGGAAUUACUGGGCGUAAAGCGUGCGCAGGCGGUUUGUUAAGUCUGCUGUGAAAUCCCCGAGCUCAACUUGGGAAUUGCAGUGGAUACUGGCAAGCUGGAGUACGGUAGAGGAAGGUGGAAUUCCCGGUGUAGCAGUGAAAUGCGUAGAGAUCGGGAGGAACACCAGUGGCGAAGGCGGCCUUCUGGACCAGUACUGACGCUCAUGCACGAAAGCGUGGGGAGCAAACAGG